AACGCUAGCUACAGGCUUAACACAUGCAAGUCGCGGGGCAGCAUGUCGGUUGCUUGCAACCGAUGAUGGCGACCGGCGCACGGGUGAGUAACGCGUAUCCAACCUGCCCUUCACCACGGAAUAAUCCAGUGAAAAUUGGUCUAAUACCGUAUGAGGUCAUACGAUGGCAUCAGAAUAUGACGAAAGGUUUAGCGGUGAAGGAUGGGGAUGCGUCUGAUUAGCUUGUUGGUGAGGUAACGGCUCACCAAGGCGACGAUCAGUAGGGGUUCUGAGAGGAAGGUCCCCCACAUUGGAACUGAGACACGGUCCAAACUCCUACGGGAGGCAGCAGUGAGGAAUAUUGGUCAAUGGGCGAGAGCCUGAACCAGCCAAGUAGCGUGCAGGACGACGGCCCUAUGGGUUGUAAACUGCUUUUAUAUGGGGAUAAAGUGAGCUACGUGUAGUUUAUUGCAGGUACCAUAUGAAUAAGGACCGGCUAAUUCCGUGCCAGCAGCCGCGGUAAUACGGAAGGUCCAGGCGUUAUCCGGAUUUAUUGGGUUUAAAGGGAGCGUAGGCCGCCCCUUAAGCGUGUUGUGAAAUGCCGCGGCUCAACCGUGGCACUGCAGCGCGAACUGGGGGACUUGAGUGCACGCAACGCAGGCGGAAUUCGUGGUGUAGCGGUGAAAUGCUUAGAUAUCACGAAGAACUCCGAUUG
rnacentral:rRNA from 1 species